rnacentral:rRNA from 1 species
AGUGAACGCUGGCGGUAGGCCUAACACAUGCAAGUCGAACGGCAGCACAGUAAGAGCUUGCUCUUACGGGUGGCGAGUGGCGGACGGGUGAGGAAUACAUCGGAAUCUACUUUUUCGUGGGGGAUAACGUAGGGAAACUUACGCUAAUACCGCAUACGACCUACGGGUGAAAGCAGGGGAUCUUCGGACCUUGCGCGAUUGAAUGAGCCGAUGUCGGAUUAGCUAGUUGGCGGGGUAAAGGCCCACCAAGGCGACGAUCCGUAGCUGGUCUGAGAGGAUGAUCGGCCACACUGGAAGUGAGACACGGUCCAGACUCCUACGGGAGGCAGCAGUGGGGAAUAUUGGGCAAUGGGCGCAAGCCUGAUCCAGCCAUACCGCGUGGGUGAAGAAGGCCUUCGGGUUGUAAAGCCCUUUUGUUGGGAAAGAAAAGCAGCAGGUUAAUACCCCGCUGUUCUGACGGUACCCAAAGAAUAAGCACCGGCUAACUUCGUG